AACGAACGCUGGCGGCAUGCCUAACACAUGCAAGUCGAACGAGACCUUCGGGUCUAGUGGCGCACGGGUGCGUAACGCGUGGGAACCUGCCCUUAGGUUCGGAAUAACUCCCCGAAAGGGGUGCUAAUACCGGAUAAUGUCUUCGGACCAAAGAUUUAUCGCCUUUGGAUGGGCCCGCGUUGGAUUAGCUAGUUGGUUGGGUAAAAGCCUACCAAGGCGACGAUCCAUAGCUGGUCUGAGAGGAUGAUCAGCCACACUGGGACUGAGACACGGCCCAGACUCCUGCGAGAGGCAGCAGUGGGGGAUAUUGGACAAUGGGCGAAAGCCUGAUCCAGCAAUGCCGCGUGAGUGAUGAAGGUCUUAGGGUUGUAAAGCUCUUUUACCCGGGAUGAUAAUGACAGUACCGGGAGAAUAAGCUCCGGCUAACUCCGUG
rnacentral:rRNA from 1 species